rnacentral:rRNA from 1 species
AAAUUGAAGAGUUUGAUCAUGGCUCAGAUUGAACGCUGGCGGCAGGCCUAACACAUGCAAGUCGAACGGUAGCACAGAGAGCUUGCUCUCGGGUGACGAGUGGCGGACGGGUGAGUAAUGUCUGGGAAACUGCCUGAUGGAGGGGGAUAACUACUGGAAACGGUGGCUAAUACCGCAUAACGUCGCAAGACCAAAGAGGGGGACCUUCGGGCCUCUUGCCAUCAGAUGUGCCCAGAUGGGAUUAGCUUGUUGGUGAGGUAACGGCUCACCAAGGCGACGAUCCCUAGCUGGUCUGAGAGGAUGACCAGCCACACUGGAACUGAGACACGGUCCAGACUCCUACGGGAGGCAGCAGUGGGGAAUAUUGCACAAUGGGCGCAAGCCUGAUGCAGCCAUGCCGCGUGUAUGAAGAAGGCCUUCGGGUUGUAAAGUACUUUCAGCGGGGAGGAAGGUGUUGCGGUUAAUAACCGCAGCAAUUGACGUUACCCGCAGAAGAAGCACC